rnacentral:misc_RNA from 1 species
AAACAUCAUCCCCUUUGUCCUCUGAUAAAACAGACCUCUCUAGUAAGUGAAUUUUCACUCCAUCUGAGACCACACUUCCAGUUACCUUCAGCUUGGAAACAUCAUCCCCUUUGUCCUCUACUGCCAACAGAUGUCUGCAAACUGUGCCUGUAAGAGUGAUCUAUAGACAAGAGCAAAGAAGAUUAAACAGAAGAACAAGUUGAGUUCAUAUGGAAAUUGCAAAUGAAUAUGAGUUUCGACGUGGCAUCUGUCAAUUGCUUAAAAAAAAUGCUCACGAGGAUGAUGAUGAUGGUGCGAACGCCAAGGAUAUUGAAAAUCUUGUGAGCCUAGGUUUGUCAAUGUCAAUAACAACGACAGGAUCAGUAUGCAUCUUCGAAAUCCCUGACAUUCCUCGUGGCCAAAACCAAAAAGCCUAUGUUCCCAUUGCAUUCUCAAUUGGGCCCCGGCAUCACGACAGUCCAAAGCUAAGCGCCAAUGAUAAAUUGAAAACACUGUAUACGCGAGACCUCAUUUCCAAAGACAGGAACACCAAGGCUACAUUGACGGAGUUGUCAAAAACUAAUUUGUACUCAUCUACUGAGUUUGGCCAGAAGGUUCAGGAGUGUUAUCCACAACAUUUUCAUCUAGAGUUUUAUAUUCGUCCGUAUCUAUUUUUCGAUGGUUGCUUUAUCAUCGAAUUUCUUCAUAAGUUCCAGGAUCAGAACCGUAG